UACUACACCACCAUGCAGACGCUCAC
rnacentral:piRNA from 1 species